rnacentral:rRNA from 1 species
GACGAACGCUGGCGGCGUGCUUAACACAUGCAAGUCGAACGGAAAGGCCCUGCUUUUGUGGGGUGCUCGAGUGGCGAACGGGUGAGUAACACGUGAGUAACCUGCCCUUGGCUUUGGGAUAACUUCAGGAAACUGGGGCUAAUACCGGAUAGGAGCUCCUGCUGCAUGGUGGGGGUUGGAAAGUUUCGGCGGUUGGGGAUGGACUCGCGGCUUAUCAGCUUGUUGGUGGGGUAGUGGCUUACCAAGGCUUUGACGGGUAGCCGGCCUGAGAGGGUGACCGGCCACAUUGGGACUGAGAUACGGACCAGACUCCUACGGGAGGCAGCAGGGGGGAAUAUUGCACAAUGGGCGGAAGCCUGAUGCAGCAACGCCGCGUGCGGGAUGACGGCCUUCGGGGUGUAAACCGCUUUCGCCUGUGACGAAGCGUGAGUGACGGUAAUGGGUAAAGAAGCACCGGCUAACUACGUG